rnacentral:rRNA from 1 species
UACGUAGGGUGCAGGCGUUAAUCGGAAUUACUGGGCGUAAAGCGUGCGCAGGCGGUUGUGCAAGACAGAUGUGAAAUCCCCGGGCUUAACCUGGGAAUUGCAUUUGUGACUGCACGGCUAGAGUGUGUCAGAGGGGGGUAGAAUUCCACGUGUAGCAGUGAAAAUGCGUAGAUAUGUGGAGGAAUACCGAUGGCGAAGGCAGCCCCCUGGGAUAACACUGACGCUCAUGCACGAAAGCGUGGGGAGCAAACAGG